rnacentral:rRNA from 1 species
AACGAACGCUGGCGGCAUGCCUAACACAUGCAAGUCGAACGAUCCCUUCGGGGAUAGUGGCGCACGGGUGCGUAACGCGUGGGAACCUGCCCUUAGGUUCGGAAUAACUCAGAGAAAUUUGAGCUAAUACCGGAUAAUGUCUUCGGACCAAAGAUUUAUCGCCUUUGGAUGGGUCCGCGUUGGAUUAGCUAGUUGGUGGGGUAAAGGCCUACCAAGGCGACGAUCCAUAGCUGGUCUGAGAGGAUGAUCAGCCACACUGGGACUGAGACACGGCCCAGACUCCUACGGGAGGCAGCAGUGGGGAAUAUUGGACAAUGGGCGAAAGCCUGAUCCAGCAAUGCCGCGUGAGUGAUGAAGGCCUUAGGGUUGUAAAGCUCUUUUACCCGGGAUGAUAAUGACAGUACCGGGAGAAUAAGCCCCGGCUAACUCCGUG